GACUCUCGGCAACGGAUAUCUAGGCUCUCACAUUGAUGAAGAACGUAGCAAAGUGUGAUACUUGGUGUGAAUUACAUAAUCUCGUGAAUCAUCGAGUCUUUAAACGCAAGUUGCGCUCGAAGCCAUUAGGCCGAGGGCACGCCUGCCUGGGCGUCA